UCCCCUGGCCGCCGAAUAGUCUGCCACAAGGUCGUAUACUAGUCCCUGUGGCAGAGUAUUCGGUGGUCAGGUGA